GCUUUCACGCGCCGCCCAGCCGUCGGAUCGAGCGGUCCCCGGUAAACGAGUCUCGCCCGUGGCUUCCUCUCCAGGAUACGGAUCCGGUGAAAUCCCCGGGUGCGACUACCCGCACUUGCACCCAAAACGCCACCUUCUCCCUGGCGGGACCCACUGAUUGUCUCAGUGAAGGGGUUGAACCGACCGGAACCGCCGGACCCGCUCACCCCCCGAUUCACGAUUCUUGAAGCAACACCUGAGGUGCCCGCUCCCCUGUGUAUCCGACGGUGCGGAGGUCACCCGCAGAUUGCUUCUCUGCGGUAAAACUCGGGCGUUCCGAUCCCCUCAACAGAAACUUCCUUCCGCAGUUAAUAGUAUUAUUACACGGCAAAGAGAAGGAGCGAGAGAGAGAGAGAGAGAGACAGAGAGCGAGGUGAGACAAAGGGAGGUCGGAGAUAUUUUUCCAUUCUGGGAAAGAGAAGCAAGGAGGAGGAGGAGGAGGAGGUGAAGUAGGGGGAUGGAGGAGCGGGAGAGGCAAGUGUUCAUGGCGAAGCUCGCAGAGCAGGCGGAGAGAUACGGUGAAAUGGUGGAGUCCUUGAAGAAGAUUGCCAGAAUGGACAUUGAGCUGACGUCAGAGGAGAGGAACUUAUUGUCGGUUGGCUACAAGAAUGUGAUUGGUGAAAGAAGAGCAUCAUGGAGGAUCCUCUGUUCGCUUGAACAGAAAGAAGAGGUGAAGGGGAGUGAGCAAAAUGCGAGGAGGAUAAGGGAGUAUAAGAAGAAAGUUGAAAACGAACUGUCGAGGAUCUGUAAUGACAUUUUGUCUGUCAUUGCCAUCCACAUCCUUCCGUCUUCUUCUGCUGGUGAAUCGAUCGUUUUCUUCUACAAGAUGAAAGGAGAUUAUUACAGGUAUUUGGCAGAAUUUAAGACUGGAAAUGAAAGAAGGGAUGCUGCGGAUCAGUCGCUUAAAUCUUAUCAGGCUGCUACAAGUACUGCUAUGACUGAUCUUCCACCCGGUCACCCGAUUAGGCUUGGCCUCGCACUAAAUUUCUCUGUCUUUUACUAUGAGAUAAUGAAUUCAUCUGAAAGGGCAUGCCAUCUGGCUAAACAGGCGUUUGAUGAGGCUAUUCCAGAGAUCAAUUCCCUCAGAGAAGACUUUUACAAGGAUAGUACACUUAUUCUGCAGCUUCUUAAGGAUAAUCUGACAUUGUGGACAUCAGAUCUGCCAGAAGGAGGUGAACGAUCCAGAGACACCAGUACGAAUAUGGAAUUGCAUUAACCCAGAAGAUGCCAUGUUCUGGACCUUUGCAACCUUCCCAGUAGGGUGCGCAGACAGUGGGGAGUGACGGUGGCAGCAGUGUGCGCAGGCGGAGGCUAUGGGGAAGGAAAAGGAGAAAAAGAAGAGGGUAAAAGUUGGAACCAGAUGGGUUAUGAAGAGUAAAAUAUUAUUUUAUUAUUUUUUAAGGAGUUGUGAAUAUUAAGAGGGUUGUGAAUAGUAAGAAGGGGGCUCUAGAUAGCAAGCUCCUUUCUUUUACCCUCGAUUUCCUCCUAUUACUAAAUAAUGGAGGUCACUUUCCUCCUAGUAAGACAUCUAUGAAGGUUGCAACUGUAAAUUCACUCACUGUUGAAGCAACCAAAUGUUAAUACUUGAAGUAAUCCUAUGCAGAACUUCAGAUAUCUUUAUCUACUACAAGAAAAGCCACGACGACCAAUUGUGACUGCUAGACCGACAUAAAAGAACUGAAAAUAGACUCCAUGCAAAGUGCCGCACAUUUGUUUCUGCAAUGCAAGUUCUAAGCAUAUGACACAUUUACCACACCAGCAAGAGUAGUUGGUCCGUCAAAGCUGAUUGGUGCUCAUGUGAGGCCUUAGCUACUGCUAAUGUCACUGUUUGGUGAUUCCAGUACUUCAUGUUCUGGUUUCCAUUUACGUUUGUCUUGGUUUGACGGGCAUGCAAGGGUUCAUCCAAUGUAUAAAAUGUUUGGGUGUGGGUUUGAUAAGCUCUUUGGAAAUUCAACUCAUGUUUACGUACGAAUGAGCUGUUAAUCAAUAUGACUUUCCAGUCUUGCAGGA